UCAGGAUCUGAGUGCAGCAGCCCCCCAGAGAUCCCCAGAACCUCAAGGCAUCUUUCUGCGUCUUGGAUACAAUUCUUUCCAAUACUUGCAACACCCCAGCAAGGAUCCCCUCUACUCACUGCAGAGAGGCAUUACCCCUUCCUAAAUGAUUUCAGAUAACACCGCUUCUUACAAAGUCAAGGACAGGCUAAUGGAUAACUGUUUGGGAAAUGGACACCAGAUAUCCCAGAGCUCGUCUUGGGUCAGACUGCAAAUAAAUGUCAUUUCUCAUUGUGAGUUCCAGCAUUUAAUAAAGACGAUUCCUUUUACCACACUGAAAUGUCCCUGACCUGUGAAAUGCGUCGGGCAGUAAGGAGCAUUUCCCUUUAAGGAUCAAAGAAUACAGAUUUUUGGAAGCUAUUGGAGGCAGGUCGGCUCAACGUCAUUGUAGGAAGAAGACUUGUAGGACAAUUUCCCAUAAGAUCAAUAUAAUUGUACAGCGCUACGGAAUUUGUUGGUGCCAUAUAAAUACAAUUAUUAAAUCUGCUUUGUGUUUAAUCGAUGUGUUAGUAAUAAUAAGACAACUUACGUCUAAGAUGAUGCAAUAAAAUGUUUCGGUCUGCAACAGUG